rfam:Ixodes scapularis strain Wikel colony gcontig_1107729101644, whole genome shotgun sequence.
CCCUGGUUAAAUCAGUUGGUAGAGCGCUCCACCUGCAAUGGUGAGGUCCCUGGUUCGAUACCAGGACCAGGCU